UGGGGAAUAUUGCACAAUGGGCGCAAGCCUGAUGCAGCCAUGCCGCGUGUGUGAAGAAGGCCUUCGGGUUGUAAAGCACUUUCAGCGAGGAGGAAGGUGGUGAGCUUAAUACGCUCAUCAAUUGACGUUACUCGCAGAAGAAGCACCGGCUAACUCCGUGCCAGCAGCCGCGGUAAUACGGAGGGUGCAAGCGUUAAUCGGAAUUACUGGGCGUAAAGCGCACGCAGGCGGUUUGUUAAGUCAGAUGUGAAAUCCCCGGGCUCAACCUGGGAACUGCAUUUGAAACUGGCAAGCUAGAGUCUCGUAGAGGGGGGUAGAAUUCCAGGUGUAGCGGUGAAAUGCGUAGAGAUCUGGAGGAAUACCGGUGGCGAAGGCGGCCCCCCUGGACGAAGACUGACGCUCAGGUGCGAAAGCGUGGCAGGNAAAACAGGAUUAGAUACCCUGGUAGUCCACGCUGUAAAACGAUGUCGAUUUGGAGGUUGUGCCCUUGAGGCGUGGCUUCCGGAGCUAACGCGUUAAAUCGACCGCC
rnacentral:rRNA from 1 species